rnacentral:rRNA from 1 species
AGAUUGAACGCUGGCGGCAGGCCUAACACAUGCAAGUCGAGCGGCAGCGGGAAAGUAGCUUGCUACUUUUGCCGGCGAGCGGCGGACGGGUGAGUAAUGCCUGGGAAAUUGCCCAGUCGAGGGGGAUAACAGUUGGAAACGACUGCUAAUACCGCAUACGCCCUACGGGGGAAAGCAGGGGACCUUCGGGCCUUGCGCGAUUGGAUAUGCCCAGGUGGGAUUAGCUAGUUGGKGAGGUAAUGGCUCACCRAGGCGACGAUCCCUAGCNNGUCUGAGAGGAUGAUCAGCCACACUGGAACUGAGACACGGUCCAGACUCCUACGGGAGGCAGCAGUGGGGAAUAUUGCACAAUGGGGGAAACCCUGAUGCAGCCAUGCCGCGUGUGUGAAGAAGGCCUUCGGGUUGUAAAGCACUUUCAGCGAGGAGGAAAGGUCAGUA